UUUUAGUUUUAGGUUAGAUCUCAUCCUAGUCAUUUUUUGUCGUCUGCUAUUCUUUCAACAUCACAGUGUAAUUAUUUGUAACGAAUUUAUAAAUGUAUAUUAAAAAUAUUGCCUGUUGUGAAACACAGAGUGUGGAAUUUCACUCAUUAUUAAGUCCUAAUUCGGUGUGGCUGUGAACUGGUUGAGGAGGACGGCUGCUCCGUGCAUGCAGCAGCUGGUCCGGGGCAUGUCAUUUCACAUUCACGGGCCCAACACUCGUGAGAUGUCGCUAGUGAGACCGUUGGCCGGCCGCGGCCCGCGACUGCGCCUGCGCCCCAGUUGCUCGCCGACCGGCCCCGCCAGACGAGCUGUCAGCGCGGUCACCUCGCUUCCAUGGCAACCGGACCACACGCUCACGCGACGCACUGCUCACUUUGCCAGGGAGAUUUACUCGGUGUGGUGUGCUCGAGUGGGCUCAGUUUCCCGCCACCUGCCAGCUGACCAGGUCCAGAACCUCCUAAAUGAGAUGCAAUUGUACCCCACACAAGCCCAAGUGUGUGAAAUGCUCCAAUGUGCCCAAGACUGUGCAGACCGUUCCUCACCAGCCCAUCUGACAUUCGGAGAAUUCUGCCUGUUUGCCACGGAACUGAAGAGGUGCUAUCACAGAGGGGUUCCUAGAUCAAGCCACUUGGCUCGAAAACUGGAAAGAGAUGGAAAGGAGAAAAAAAAGCGCUCAAGAAAAAUGUCAAAGAGUGUGCUCGCCAAACAUGAAGUGUUUCUGGGAGGAUCAUGCAACCCUACGACCUGGAGACACGAUAUAGCCAUCCCUCUGCUCAAGGGUCUGGGCAUUACAUACUACAAUCCGCAAGUGGAGGACUGGAGUGUGGAGCUGGUGGAACAGGAGCACGAGGCCAAGCAAACGGCGAAUGUGCUGUUCUACGUAAUAGACAGUCAGACUCGCAAUGUGGUAGGCAUGAUAGAGGCUGCAGCGUUUGCGGGAGCCAGGCGACGGCUGGUGCUGGUCAUCAAGCCAUACAAGCCCUCCCAGAGCAUUGGUGGGGAAGUUAUAUCUCACCAAGAGUAUGAUGAGCUGAGUGGUUCUCUACUGGUGCUCAAGAGUCUGGUGGAGAGACAAGGCAUUCCUGUCUUCAAUAACAUCCCAGUAGCUGUCAAGUGUACUGCUAAGAUUUUGCGGGACAAUAUCAACAUGCAGGACCUUGUAUCGGCUGAUCUCAAACAACCCGUCAGCAACGGACACGUGCAGGUGGCAGAAAAACUUUUUAAACUAAGAGAAGCCUUCAACAAUCGAGACACAUCAGGGUCUGGCCAAAUCAGUUUAGCGGAUGUGUGUAUGGCCUACAGGUUGAUGACCAAUAGGAAACUGUCAGUCUCAGAGCUCAAGGGGCUUGUAUCUAAUACUUCAGAUUGCAAAGAACAUCCAGUCCAAGUAAACUUCGAGGAGUUCUGUGCCAUCAUUGCAGAGUUAAAGUCUGGAGAUGCACAUAACAACAAUAACAACAACGGAUCGUCUGAAAAUAUAUUUUGUUGUGGCCAGAGUGGGCUUUGUGUAGUCGACCACCACGCUCGCUCUCUGUGGACAAUUCCAAUCUGCGGGACGUGUUUUUGGCUGGAGACUGCACUGACUACGCCUGGACUCACCACCUGGCGAUCCCUUCUCUCAAGAGACAUGGUCUGAGCUAUCACCUGCUGGAGGAGGUGAGCGGCAGCCCCCCAGAUCUUGCCGUCAUAGACAACAGCUUCGUCUUGUUGUUUGUCAUUACUGCCCAGUCUCGCAGUUUAUCUGUCAUGACCAUGGCUGGUCACUACAUUGGUCUUGGCUGUAACGUAGUUUUAUGUAUCCAACACAUAAUGGAAGACCUUGUUUUAAAUGGAGAAAAG
rnacentral:misc_RNA from 1 species